GACGACCGCCCUGCACCCACAGAAAAAGUCUGAACUGGUUUUGCCGGCAGUGCAGUUUCUUUGUUGUGGUCAGUUGUGGAUUCGUCCAGGAGUUAUUCUCUAAUGCUAGCUACAAACAACACAUCCUGCCACCAGCUGUAAAGUAUUCUUCUGUGCCAUGGUACACCCAAGGUUCACACAGGCUUGCUUGAGGAGGGUGCCACAAGAUUGGCUCAUGGCCACUUUCUGCAAAUAGUGCCCAGCUUAAUACUGAUGUUAGUUCAUGCACAGUAUGUACGUUACAUGAGAG